CUUCACCUAAAACAAAGACUUCACCUGAAACUAAGACAUCACCUGAAACAAAAAGUUUGAAAUCAUCCAAGUCCAAUGCGUCAAUUCCUUCUCAUUGUGACAAUGAAAUUUUACCUGAUCCUCCAUUAAAGAAGCGAUCACGGAAAGGCUACUUUUAUAGUUGUGGCUGGAUGAGCCAUUUGUGGCCGAGCUGCAAGUGUUUGAGUUGUUGCUCAUCAUUCUCCAGUUGUUGGAUUUGUAAUCGUACAAAGUGUCAUCAUCCCACCUCCCUAAUUUUGAAAGAAGAAGGAAAUGGUUCUACGAAUAUGGAUGUUUCACCACAGGAAUCAGAUAAACCACAGGAAUCAGAUAAACCACAUGAAUCAGAUAAACCACAUGAAUCAGAUAAAGAAGAAUCAGGAAUGACUUCGGACUCUACAGCCAUCCAAACUAAACAACAAUCCGAAGUGCUUUCCAAAUCAAAAGACAAUAAUUCCAAUUGGAUCCAUUCUUUUUCUUGUCCAUGGAAACUACCUUCCAAACAUUGUUGUUGUUGUUGAGAGAUCUUUUACAGAAUUCAGAUGCCUCGUUUGUUUAUAGUUUACCACCACCUUUAGGUACAUAGUUUUGAUCACAUGGCAAUGAACACAUAUGUUGGAGCUUCAUGUGAACCACUCUUCCCUUCAAAGAGUAAUAUGAAUGUAUAUGCGAGCUAGAUUCAUAAUGAGUAAAGAAAAAUUAUAUGGUUUCAUCAUAAA